ACCAUAAAAAAGGAGACUAUACAAAAUCAAAAUCAGAAACUAGUGGUGCCAUUAAAAAAAUACACCUAGGUUGAAGGGUAGUGCGGAGCUGGAAAAUCGCGUAGGAAAAAUUUGCCUUCUGGAGAUUGAUGGCGAAAUGCUGGAAAGGACUCCCGGAAGGACCAGCAGAUAUUACAGGAGGAGCACCAGGAAAUACUAAAAUAAAUUGCGAGCAGCAAAGGACAAACCAACGGUAUAUUUUUUAGCUUUUAUUACCCCGGAAUUUGGUAACGUAACGCCAGUAACGUACCAGAUGCCUCCGCGAUUUUUAUAAAAAAAAACAACAUGAAACCUUCAUAUAC